rnacentral:rRNA from 1 species
GACGAACGCUGGCGGCGUGCUUAACACAUGCAAGCCGAACGAUGAAGCCGGAGCUUGCUCCGGUGGAUUAGUGGCGAACGGGUGAGUAACACGUGAGCAAUCUGCCCUUGACUCUGGGAUAACUGCGGGAAACUGUAGCUAAUACCGGAUACGACACCUUGGGGCAUCCCAGGGUGUGGAAAGAAUUUCGGUCAAGGAUGAGCUCGCGGCCUAUCAGCUAGUUGGUGAGGUAAUGGCUCACCAAGGCGACGACGGGUAGCCGGCCUGAGAGGGUGACCGGCCACACUGGAGCUGAGACACGGUCCAGACUCCUACGGGAGGCAGCAGUGGGGAAUAUCGCACAAUGGGCGAAAGCCUGAUGCAGCAACGCCGCGUGAGGGAUGAAGACCUUCGGGUUGUAAACCUCUUUUAGCAGGGAAGAAGCGAAAGUGACGGUACCUGCAGAAAAAGCACCGGCUAACUACGUGCCAGCCGCCGCGGUAA